CGUAGGCGAUGGAUAACAGGUUGAUAUUCCUGUACCACCUAUAAUCGUUUUAAUCGAUGGGGGGACGCAGUAGGAUAGGCGAAGCGUGCGAUUGGAUUGCACGUCUAAGCAGUAAGGCUGAGUAUUAGGCAAAUCCGGUACUCGUUAAGGCUGAGCUGUGAUGGGGAGAAGACAUUGUGUCUUCGAGUCGUUGAUUUCACACUGCCGAGAAAAGCCUCUAGAUAGAAAAUAGGUGCCCGUACCGCAAACCGACACAGGUAGUCAAGAUGAGAAUUCUAAGGUGAGCGAGCGAACUCUCGUUAAGGAACUCGGCAAAAUGACCCCGUAACUUCGGGAGAAGGGGUGCUCUUUAGGGUUAACGCCCAGAAGAGCCGCAGUGAAUAGGCCCAAGCGACUGUUUAUCAAAAACACAGGUCUCUGCUAAACCGUAAGGUGAUGUAUAGGGGCUGACGCCUGCCCGGUGCUGGAAGGUUAAGAGGAGUGGUUAGCUUCUGCGAAGCUACGAAUCGAAGCCCCAGUAAACGGCGGCCGUAACUAUAACGGUCCUAAGGUAGCGAAAUUCCUUGUCGGGUAAGUUCCGACCCGCACGAAAGGCGUAACGAUUUGGGCACUGUCUCAACGAGAGACUCGGUGAAAUCAUAGUACCUGUGAAGAUGCAGGUUACCCGCGACAGGACGGAAAGACCCCGUGGAGCUUUACUGUAGCCUGAUAUUGAAAUUCGGCACAGCUUGUACAGGAUAGGUAGGAGCCUUUGAAACGUGAGCGCUAGCUUACGUGGAGGCGCUGGUGGG
rnacentral:rRNA from 1 species